rnacentral:lncRNA from 1 species
CUGCUUCGCCAAACCGCUUCAGACCGCCAUCAACUUGACAGUUUUGACAACUCGUUCCCAAAACUGUCAAAAAUCGCCAUAUUUGUGCUCGCACGAGAAGGAUUUUUUGUGUCACACUCAUCGCGGUAUCUCGUUUGGACCAGCUUCGAAAGGCCACAGUUGUGUGUAGCAUAAAUUCAGCUUAGCAAGAUGAUUACUCCUCGUUUGACGACCAUGGCCCGCACCGCUCUGGUUCAGCACCAGCGCCGCGGAUUCUACUCGGUCACUCCCGGAUUGCCGCAAGUCCGUGUCUCGCUUGGCGAGAAGGUCUGCCACGGCAUUGCCAUCUUCUGUGGCCUGUUGGCCUACCCAACCUGGGUGGUGGCCCAUAUGCGCGAAUACCGACAGGGCGGAGCUAAGUAAACUGUUUACAUCCCCCUUCGUUAAGGAUUUAGUUGCUAAUAUUCGGCAGUGGAAGUGGAACAGAGGAGGUCAUCAUCCGUGUGUUGAAAAUAACGUAAGAUCCGCAAGGUGCAUCCGUUUAUUUGUAAGUUCCAAAGUUGUAUCAUGAAAGUACUAAAGCGAUGGAGGAAUAAAAUGACCGGAAAGUAGACGUUUAUGUUGAA